GACGAACGCUGGCGGCGUGCUUAACACAUGCAAGUCGAACGGAAAGGCCUGCUUUCCCUUGUGGAUUGCGGGUACUCGAGUGGCGAACGGGUGAGUAACACGUGAGUGAUCUGCCCCCAACUUGGGUAUAAGCCUGGGAAACUGGGUCUAAUUCCCGAUAGGACUGCAGGGUGGUGCCUGUGGUGGAAAACGAUUUUCUAGUGGUUGGGGAUGAGCUCGCGGCCUAUCAGCUUGUUGGUGGGGUAAUGGCCUACCAAGGCGGCGACGGGUAGCCGGCCUGAGGGGGUGGACGGCCACAUUGGGACUGAGAUACGGCCCAGACUCCUACGCGAGGCAGCAGUGGGGAAUAUUGCACAAUGGGCGGAAGCCUGAUGCAGCGACGCCGCGUGGGGGAUGACGGCCUUCGGGUUGUAAACUCCUUUCGACCGCGAGGAAGCCACCUGGUUGGAAGGGUGGUGACGGUAGUGGUAGAAGAAGCACCGGCUAACUACGUG
rnacentral:rRNA from 1 species